rnacentral:rRNA from 1 species
GAUGAACGCUGGCGGCGUGCCUAAUACAUGCAAGUCGAGCGAACAGACGAGGAGCUUGCUCCUCUGACGUUAGCGGCGGACGUGUGAGUAACACGUGUAUAACCUACCUAUAAUACUGGUAUAAUUUGGGGAAACCGGAUCAAAUACGAUAGAAUAUAUUGAUCCGCAUGGUUGAUUGGUAAAUUACGGUUUUUCUGGCUGUUCUAGAGGGUUCCGCGCCGCAUUAGCUAGUUGGUAAGGUAACGGCUUACCAAGGCAACGAUGCGUAGCCGACCUGAGAGGGUGAUAGGCCACCCUGGAACUGAGACACGGUCCAGACUCCUACGGGAGGCCGCAGUAGGGAAUCUUCCGCAAUGGGCGAAAGCCUGACGGAGCAACGCCGCGUGAGUGAUGAAGGUCUUCGGAUCGUAAAACUCUGUUAUUAGGGAAGAACAAAUGUGUAAGUAACUAUGCACGUCUUGACGGUACCUAAUCAGAAAGCCACGGCUAACUACGUG